CGCGGGGAGAAGCUGGUCUGGGAGCAGCAGCAAGGGGCUCCGGUUGGAUGUCUGUCGGGUUGCUGUUGUUACACAUUGCUGAGUGUGGAUUAAGCAGGGAUGCUGUUGGGUGCCGGAAUGGGCACCAGAACCGGAGCCAAGCGAGCGGGCAACAGUACCGGGCUCAGCAGCCUCCCAGUGAACACGGCCAGACCGGGAGGCCAGUUUGUCGACAGAGAAUACAGUACCGAGGUGAUUUACAGAGGCUCCUACCAGGAGCCAACUCCGGGGUUGAGGAAGACUGGUUCAGGCGGGGACAGGAGAGGCGUCACGCGGGAGAGGAGCGAGAGGGAGGUGGUGCAUCAGAGAGGCAGAGACGGCGUGUACAGCCAGAAUAUUUUUGACAUCUGACUCUGUGAAUUAAGGAUUUAUUUCGACCAAACCAGAGUUGGUGAUUGUUGGAACAGUGGAAAGACUAACCCAGAUGGUUUUGGUGAGUUUUAUUUAGUUUCUGUGGUGUUUGAAUGAAGUGUUUUACGAUGAGGCGAUUAAGCUGGUUUUAGUUUGGUGAAAAAGAGAAACUUGAAUUCAGAAGGUGUACGGUUGUAUUUUUCUGAAAUUUCUGAAAGAAUAUUUCCUUUCUUGACAUUUUGUGAGUUUAUUUUAUGUAUUUAUUAGACUAAAAAAAAGCUAAGAGA